CCUACGGGAGGCAGCAGUGAGGAAUAUUGGUCAAUGGGCGCGAGCCUGAACCAGCCAAGUAGCGUGAAGGAUGACUGCCCUACGGGUUGUAAACUCCUUUUAUCAAGGAAUAAAGUGAGGCACGUGUGCCUUUUGGUAUGUACUUUAUGAAUAAGGAUCGGUUAACUCCGUGCCAGCAGCCGCGGUAAUACGGAGGAUCCGAGUGUUAUCCGGUUUUAUUGGGUUUAAAGGGUGCGCAGGGGGAGGUGCAAGACAGCGGUAAAAUUGCGGGGCUCAAACCCGUACUGCCGUUGAAACUGCAGCCCUUGAGUGCGCGAGAAGUAUGAGGAAUGCGUGGUGUAGCGGUGAAAUGCAUAGAUAUCACGCAGAACUCCGAUUGCGAAGGCAGCAUACCGGCGCGCAACUGACGCUGAUGCACGAAAGCGUGGGUAUCGAACAGGAUUAGAUACCCGAGUAGUC
rnacentral:rRNA from 1 species